CCUCGCUCGACAGUCGACGCCCUUCUUCCUCUCCAAAUCCAAAUCGCUGAGCCAUGAAAUUCUACUCCCUUCACCAAUCAAAUCGCUGAUGGAUUUGCUUUUCGUCCCCGCUUCCUUCUCUCCCGCGACCCUCGUUGUCAAACCCUCCGUCCUCCUCUCCCCUCGCGCUUCCCAUAAGCCACCGCCGGAAGCUGCAGCAGCCGCCGCCGCGCCGCUAUCCUCCGCCACCAUUCGCCGCCCCCUGAACCCUCCAUUCCGGCAAACAUCCCCUGUUGAGCCUGACACCGCCCCUUCGACCGCUCUUAAACCCUCCACCACCAACCCCUUGGCACCGAAGCUCUGGCUUUCCAGUAAGCUCUCUCCUCCACCUCCUCCUCCGCCGCUGCCACCGACCCCUCCGGUGGAAACCCUGCCAUCGGAUUCCGAUGUCGAAGGUCCCUCCUCGCCUGCUGUAAAUCCUGAUUCCAUGGCCGACGCUGCCAAAUAUCGUGUUUAAGGAAAGAUUUUUGUGGGGAAUCUGCUGCGAUGGGUCAAGAAGAACGAGAUCGUCGAGUUCUUCCGCCAAUUCGGACCCGUGGAGAAAUGCGAGUUGAUCAGGGCUCAUGAUGAUCCGGAGCGCAAUGUGGGGUAUUGUUUCCUGUGAUACGGUGGUCCUACUGCUGAAGAUUCGGCUGUCAGGGGGGUGGAGUUUGACGGAGUGGAGUUCCAUGGGAGGGUUUUGACUGUAAUGUUGGACGACGGGAGUCAGCAGAGGGCGAGGAAGGAAGAGAAAAUGAACUGGGUAGCAGGGUCGGAUCGUAGGGAGUACAAGUCGAAGUUGCAUGCGGAGACGGGGAAUGCUAGCAAUAGAUUUGUGAAGGUUUUGGACACUAAGCCAGAGGAUUGGCAAGCGGUAGUGUCGGCGUUUGAUAAAAUACCGAAGGUUGAAGAUUAUCAACAACAAGAAGCAAUGUGCAUUAGGAGUUUUGAGUCUAGACAUGAAUUUGGCUCUUUAAACAUUACCGCCUCUCUUUGCUAUUGAUGGCCCUCUUUAGGAGAUUAUCUCUUGAUGGUCAAGUAUUAUGCCAGAAGAGGUGAUAAACAUCAUGCACGAGCAACUUUUGAGAGCAUGAGAGCAAGAGGAAUUGAACCAGAUGAACGCAUAUUUACAAGCCUUGUUCACGCUUAUGCAGUUGCCAGAGAUAUGCUUGGGGCUUUGUCUUGCGUUGAUGAAAUGAAGACUGAGGGUGUUGAGUUGACUUUGUCUUGCUGAAGUCCUCGAUGCUGAAUCUGCAGAUAUCUACUUCAAAGAGGCAAAGCAAAAGUUUUCUUCCUUGAAUGGUGUAAUAUACAGCAACAUCAUUUACGCACAUUGUCAAAGUGACAACAUGUCUCAAGCUGAAGUUUUGGUUCGAGAAAUGGAAGAACAAGGAAUGGAUGUUUCUAUUAACAUAUAUCACACAAUGAUGGAUGGUUAUACCAAUAUUCGAGAUGAGAAGAAAUGUUUAAUUGUUGUUGAUAGGCUUAAGGUAACGAAGCAUUCUGUAUAUUUGUAUUCUAAUUCAUGGAAUUUUUAUUUUUUUUUUUCUUGUUUUUGGUCUGAAGAUUUGGAGUCAAUUGACAUAUCUUGUAUCCGCAUGCAUUUCUUGCUACAGUUUGCAUGUGUUGCUCCUCUGGCAUCUCCAUACUCUCUAGCUGUGUGUUCCAGUUGACAAUAACUAGCUUGCGAUGGUAUAAAACCUAUAGGAUGCUAAUGAAACCUGAUGAUCACUAGUUUCCCUUUA